CGGGCAGCCGCUACCUGCCCCCGCCACCUCCAGCUGCUCCUCCUCCUCCUGCCCAGCCGCCGGCCACGUCCCCCGUCCCCUCCGGCUCAGCCCAGACCGGCAGGACUGGGAUGGAAACGGGCUCCAGGGUAGACGGGGAUGUACUUAAGCGCCCACCGUGACCCACCCUUCCGAGAGGCUUUGGGCCGCGAGGCCACCCCGGGACAAGCGGAGCCUGCGUUCGGUGGAGCCCCCCACUGGUCCGACCGGAUUCCUCGGCCUGGGACUCGGCCCCUGGCUACGAAAAAGGGCCAGACCUAGGCUCUUUUUCUCUUUGUUUUUAAUUCAAAUGGGAAAUUUACCAAA